rnacentral:rRNA from 1 species
UCUARAGCUAAUACAUGCGAAAAAAGCUUGUAGAGUUGUGUAAUCAACUUUGCAGGUGAUGCAUUUAUUAGAUUAAGCCAAUCAAUGUUUGGAGCAGUUAUCGCUGUUUCAACGUUGCUGUGGUGAGUCUGGAUAACUGUGCCGAUCGUAUGGCCUAGAGCCGGCGACAUUUCGAUUAAAUUUCUGCCCUAUCAACUUGUUGGUAAGGUAGUGGCUUACCAAGGUGAUGACGGGUAACGGGGAAUCAGGGUUCGAUUCCGGAGAGGGAGCCUGAGAAAUGGCUACCACAUCCAAGGACGGCAGCAGGCGCGCAAAUUACCCAAUCCAGACACUGGGAGGUGGUGACGAGAAAUACCAGGUCGGUCCCAAAAGGAUUCGACACUGGAAUGAGUUCAAUUUAAGAAUUUGAAUGAGUAGCAACUGGAGGGCAAGUCUGGUGCCAGCAGCCGCGGUAAUUCCAGCUCCAGUAGUGUAUCCAAACGCUGCUGCGGUUAAAACGCUCGUAGUUGGACAAUAGAGUAAUUUAGUGCGGGCGGGAGAUGUAAUUGCUCCAUGUAACUGACUAUUAUGAGUAGUAUAAAGUGGGAAGAAUGAGAUGGGAGGUAAAAGUAAGAUGGCUAUGAUGAAAGUUGUGGUUGUUUUAUUUUUAUUGCUCAUUUUGUUGUUUCAUUUCUUUUGCUUAUUUAUAAUAGUAAAUAGUGCAUGGUAGUAGCAUCUGUCGACCAUGCAGCUAAGUUACUUG